rnacentral:tRNA from 1 species
AGUGAGUUGGCUAAGUGGUUAGAGCGUAGGUCUCGUAACCGAAAAGCUGCGGGAUCGAAUUCCGCUAGAGCUG